AUUGAACGCUGGCGGCAUGCCUUACACAUGCAAGUCGAACGGUAACAGGUCUUCGGAUGCUGACGAGUGGCGAACGGGUGAGUAAUACAUCGGAACGUGCCCGAUCGUGGGGGAUAACGCAGCGAAAGCUGUGCUAAUACCGCAUACGAUCCACGGAUGAAAGCGGGGGACUCGCAAGGGCCUCGCGCGGACGGAGCGGCCGAUGGCAGAUUAGGUAGUUGGUGGGAUAAAAGCUUACCAAGCCGACGAUCUGUAGCUGGUCUGAGAGGACGACCAGCCACACUGGGACUGAGACACGGCCCAGACUCCUACGGGAGGCAGCAGUGGGGAAUUUUGGACAAUGGGCGCAAGCCUGAUCCAGCCAUGCCGCGUGCAGGAUGAAGGCCUUCGGGUUGUAAACUGCUUUUGUACGGAACGAAAAAGCUCUCUCUAAUACAGGGGGUGAAUGACGGUACCGUAAGAAUAAGCACCGGCUAACUACGUG
rnacentral:rRNA from 1 species